AGAGUUUGAUCCUGGCUCAGAACGAACUCUGGCGGCGUGGAUAAGACAUGCAAGUCGAACGAGAGAAUUGCUAGCUUGCUAAUAAUUCUCUAGUGGCGCACGGGUGAGUAACACGUGAGUAACCUGCCCCCGAGAGCGGGAUAGCCCUGGGAAACUGGGAUUAAUACCGCAUAGUAUCGAAAGAUUAAAGCAGCAAUGCGCUUGGGGAUGGGCUCGCGGCCUAUUAGUUAGUUGGUGAGGUAACGGCUCACCAAGGCGAUGACGGGUAGCCGGUCUGAGAGGAUGUCCGGCCACACUGGAACUGAGACACGGUCCAGACACCUACGGGUGGCAGCAGUCGAGAAUCAUUCACAAUGGGGGAAACCCUGAUGGUGCGACGCCGCGUGGGGGAAUGAAGGUCUUCGGAUUGUAAACCCCUGUCAUGUGGGAGCAAAUUAAAAAGAUAGUACCACAAGAGGAAGAGACGGCUAACUCUGUGCCAGCAGCCGCGGUAAUACAGAGGUCUCAAGCGUUGUUCGGAAUCACUGGGCGUAAAGCGUGCGUAGGCUGUUUCGUAAGUCGUGUGUGAAAGGCGCGGGCUCAACCCGCGGACGGCACAUGAUACUGCGAGACUAGAGUAAUGGAGGGGGAACCGGAAUUCUCGGUGUAGCAGUGAAAUGCGUAGAUAUCGAGAGGAACACUCGUGGCGAAGGCGGGUUCCUGGACAUUAACUGACGCUGAGGCACGAAGGCCAGGGGAGCGAAAGGGAUUAGAUACCCCUGUAGUCCUGGCAGUAAACGGUGCACGCUUGGUGUGCGGGGAAUCGACCCCCUGCGUGCCGGAGCUAACGCGUUAAGCGUGCCGCCUGGGGAGUACGGUCGCAAGAUUAAAACUCAAAGAAAUUGACGGGGACCCGCACAAGCGGUGGAGUAUGUGGCUUAAUUCGAUGCAACGCGAAGAACCUUACCUGGGCUUGACAUGUAAUGAACAACAUGUGAAAGCAUGCGACUCUUCGGAGGCGCUACACAGGUGCUGCAUGGCCGUCGUCAGCUCGUGUCGUGAGAUGUUUGGUUAAGUCCAGCAACGAGCGCAACCCCUGUUGCCAGUUACCAGCACGUGAAGGUGGGGACUCUGGCGAGACUGCCCAGAUCAACUGGGAGGAAGGUGGGGACGACGUCAGGUCAGUAUGGCCCUUAUGCCCAGGGCUGCACACGUACUACAAUGCCCAGUACAGAGGGGGCCGAAGCCGCGAGGCGGAGGAAAUCCUAAAAACUGGGCCCAGUUCGGACUGUAGGCUGCAACCCGCCUACACGAAGCCGGAAUCGCUAGUAAUGGCGCAUCAGCUACGGCGCCGUGAAUACGUUCCCGGGUCUUGCACUCACCGCCCGUCA
rnacentral:rRNA from 1 species